UUCUCUCUGUUCUUCAGGGUCAAGAUUUCUCCUUAAAUAAAACCAAUCCGCUUCUCGAUCAGCCCAUGAGUCGAAGCAUCAUAUUUAUAAAACAAAACUGAGUAUGCCAGAAUCUUAAAACGGAGAAAAGGAGAGGGGUGCCCACAGAUGAGAGGGCAAGGUUUCUUUUCAUUAUAAGGAAAAUUUAAUUACGUGAAAGGAUGCCUUGUGAAGCCAGUGCCAGAAGGUCGUAACCUUUUCCUGAGGAAUCCUGCUCCACGGCCUGUCGGCCCACACCCCCUGUCUGGCCCUUCCUUUAGGAAAGGGAGGAGUAGCUGUAAGGCCUGACUGUUUGUCUUGGGGGAGUGACAGGUAAAAGCAGGAAAGACUUGUCUGACCUGUUCAUCUACUUGUUUGUAGCCCCCAGUUCCUCUUUUUUAGCAAGGAAAUUAUGCCUAAGUGGAUAAAAUCUUCAAAAUGUGGAGGGGAUGAAAUCAUGAAAUCAUUGAUGGUGAAAAGAAGGGAGGUAAGAAGACCGCUGACAGAACACUUUGCCUGCAUCUUCUGAUUUUUUCUGGAGAGUCUGGAGUGAUGGUCCUGACCAACCCAUCUUUCUACCUAAAAUCUUCCCAGUGAGGUAUCACCGGGUAAAGAAGCACAGGUACAUCAUUCGUACCAGCCUUUGACAGCCAUCCUGCCCUUGUUUGUGAAAUGGACCACACCCGAGAAGGCACGCAUAAUGGAUGGGGUGGAGGCUGGGAAAAUUCCUUCUUCGUUGGAAAGUUACUCUGAGCGGCAAGUUCUGAUCUUGUAAGAUGACUGACACCCCUGCUACGGGCACACUGGCGGGCGGGCAGCAAGGCUGCACAAACAAACACUGUCUGGUCAGGGACGGCCGUGGAGCUGCUUGUCCGUGGGAGGCAGGCAGGGACCUUGCAGCCGGCUGAGAGUUGAAAUCUCACAUCAGCCUUUAGUGUUGACCUCACCCAAGUUUCCAAAGAGCCAAUUAAAAAAAAAAAAACUUUAAAAUAUGGAUAAUCAAAAACAUACAAAAAUAGAAUUAUGUAGUGGACCCCCAUAUACCUGCCCCCCAGGUAUACCAACAUGAGACCAUUUUACAAGAGAUUGAGUAGAGUUCCCUGUGCUAUAUAGUAGGUCCUUGUUGUUUAUCUGUUUUACAUACAGCAGUGUGCAUCUGUUAAUCCCAGCCUCCUAAUUUAUCCCUUCCCCCUUUCGUAACCAGAAGUUUGUUUUCUGUGUCUGUGAGUGCGUUUCUGCCUUGUGAGGAAGUUCAUGGGUAUCAUGUUUUUAGAUUCCACAUAUAAGCGACAUCAUAAAUGAUAUUUGUCUUUCUCUGUCUGACUUACUUCACUUAGGAUGAUCAUGUCCAGGUCUAUCCAUGUUGCUGCAAAUGCUAAGCCAUUUUAAAGGAACCAAACUAUGUUUGAAAAUACAUCCAUAAGGAGAAGACGGUACAAUGAAAUAAUUUAAAAACUCGGGAGACGCAGAGAGCAAGUGUACCCUUUAAAGCAGCACUUUGGAGUUUAACAGUUGGAUCAUCAGCCCAGCACUGCCUUUGGAAGCAUACGGACAUGGGUUUGAAUCCCAGCCCUGCCAUGUGGCUUUGGGGAGACCCCGCUGAGGCUUUUCUGUACCAGGAGGGGCAAGUAGACGUAAGACAUGCAUCAUCAGUGGAAAAAAACCUACUGGAUACAAGAAGUCAAUGCAGCCUGAGCUGUCACUCGUGCGGUCCACUCCUAUCGCGCUGGACUGUUUUCUUUUUGAAAAGCUGACUGCUGGCAGGAAGGGGAGACCGCCCAGAAGAACCUGAUCUGGUUACCUCCGUUCAGCAGGUUGUGGGGAAGGUUUGAGACGAGCUUUGGUUUCUCGCAAUUGGCAGAUGGACAGUGUAAACUCUGGGAGUGGGCAGUCUCUCCCUGUGACAGACCCUCGAGCUCUAACUGGCAAGAAUCUAAUUGGGUGGAUCCUCCAAGGGCCUUGCGAGGCACAAAGAGUUUAAUUUCUAAGCAAGUGAUGAGCGGGCCCCUGGUAUCAUGAAAUUGUAGUUAUGAUGGCCACUGUGUACCGAGCAUACACCGGGGGCUGACUGAACAGUCUCAGUUUUCCAAGACAAUCCAUGAGGUAGGUUGUGGCAUUUCCAUUUUGCAAAGGAGAGAAUUAGGAUUCAGCUAGUUUUGAUGUAUUUGUGGGAGGAGCUGAGCUUCAUGUUCUUCUGUUCCAUCAUCUUGAUCUCUCCCCCCAAGAUUCAGGUAGUUUUCAUGACUUUUUCAAGAUCAAACAGUUGGAAUUCAGUUCACAUCUCUGUUGACUAGACUCUGAUCUCUGUUACUCCUUCAUUUUCCUUUGCCCCCAGCCCUCCCCCAGCCAAAAAACUGUGAAGCUGCAAUUAUAUUUAGAGUUGUGUUUAUUGUAGAAGUGAUGGUUCUGUUUUAAUUUGUCGGGAUCAUUUCGGCCUAGGUUUUGGACCCAGACUGGUCAUAGACAGUAGACAGUAUAGACGUAGAACUCAGUGAAAUGUAGCUCCAGCUAUGCAGACGGUAGACAGUAUGGAUGUAGAACUCCGUGAAAUGUAGCCCCAUCUCUGCAGACCUGGAUCUUCCUCUGUGCUCAGCUGGGGUAGCAAAUGGUAUGCCCCCCACCCCCUCCAACCCUUCCUCCCCUUCCCUCCCGCAGCCCACCCCACAUCGUGUCCUACGGCAAGGGCUACGAAAAUGUUCAUGGGAUCUUUGUUCUACCAUCUCAGACUGUGUGCAAUCCUCGAGAAACUUCAGAAGAAAAGUAUUUGGUUAGUGGAUGACCAGAAGAAAAUUGAUAUCUUUUAAAAUAUUGACUGAAGUGACAGUUGGGGAACCGGCUCUUGGGAGAGCUCCAACAUGUUUCAAAAAUUGGCAGUUAGCUCUGGAGUGAACUAAUUAAAUAGGAACGAUCUUCAUCCUCACUGCCUUUCACAGCCUCCCGUUGGAGAAAAGACGGACGAGGACGACUUGGAGAUCAAGAGUGCUGCAGCUUGACCUCGAUGCAGUUUGGGGGGAAAUAACAAAGGAACUAUCAUUUAAUCACAGAUGCAGCAAAGCCGAAGGCUAGAAAACUUGUGUGACUGAGCAGCAUUUAAUUUUGUUGGAAACUGGCUUGAUCACCCUGGUUGUAAGAAGAGACAGACUUGUGCAGCCUUUAUGCAGCAGGAAACUGGGAGCAUCGGGGCCUGAUGGACCGACACCUGAUACCAUGUAAAUAGAAUCCACAGAAGCUUCUCUGGAGGGGCUUUCUCAAGCUAAAGGCUGGCUGUUUGCACACAGGUUUGCUCCUGUCUGGACCCCAGCAUCCCGUGUUAACACACCUGGCGGUGGCCUCCCAUCCUUCCUGGCCGUACGUGUGAGGGCUUAUUUGUUUAAAGCUUGAUGAGCACUGCUUGGAAAAACAAAACAACACACUCACUUGUCUGGGCAUAGAAUUGUUCUUCCUGAAUUGUUGUCCCGCCCAUUGGCCCAGAGGCAUCCUGGGUGGGGCGAGUUUCGGGGUUGGUUUGGGGAGUUUCGGGACAGGCUGUGGGCUGGGUCUAUCAGGUGGGAGUUGGUCUUGACUGUUGUCGUUCUGGAACGUCUGAGGGUCAGGGAACAUCCCCCAUAGAUGACUAUGGGGUCUUUAGGUUCUGGCCCCGCCACUUUCUCACAUGAGGGCAGACACACCUGGGUAGGUAUUUACCCUAAUCUUAACCCUGAUGGAAGUGUUGAUCUAUUAACCCUGUCUGGCCAUGAGCAUUUCCAGGCUUCCUCUGGGGCACUGCCCCACAGGUAAGCACAGUUUCUAACUCUGGUGGCAACUCCUCAGCUCCUAUUAGCUUGGGUAUGUUAACAGAAACCUCAAGCCCAGCCUUCGGCUAGAGACCAGAUGCUCUUCUGCCCUUCCUGACGUGCCUGAUGGCAGGAACUGUGUCUUACUCAUUUGUAUGUCUGUGCCUGACACUCCAGCCAAAAAUCUCCAGACCCAUAAUCUGCUGUUACACCUGGGCUGUUGGAGGAAAUCUCCCGACCCUGAUGUCUCUAAAUAUUUCAGGAUCCAAAACCUCACCUGUGUUCUUCGUGCAUUCAUUUUAAUGUCUUAAGAAACUAAAGUUCCUUUCGUCAACUGUCCCAAGUUUUCAUUUUUCUCCCCAAAUCCAUUAUCCUCCUCCAUGUUAUUGCAAAGAUGAUCUUCAAAAUGGGUAACAGGUGUGGAAAAAAAAAAUCAAUACAUAAAUGUUGAAUUAUAUGUCUUGAUAUUAUCUAAAACAAAAUUAGAUAUAUCAUUAAAACUAUUGGUUAUGGAAAAACCCAAACGAACUUUUUGGCCAACCCAGUACUUUCACAGAGAUCUGACUAGUGGUGCUAAUUUUUAUCAUAUAAUUUCCAAAUAAGUUGUGAAUUUUUAAAACUUGUUUAAUGUAGUGGUCACUAAAUGAUGUGUUGCUCGGAGCCAUGAUUUGCUUUGGGAACAAUAGCAAACUUUGUUUUGGACAAUAUUCCUAUCACAAUAUUUAAGUGCAGGAGUCCUUAAACUACGGCUUGCUGCCUGUUUUUGUAAAUAAAAGUUAUUUGUCACACAGCUCUGUUUAUUUGUUUUUGUACAGAGACUGGCCCUCAAAGCCUGAAAUAUUAUUUGGCCCUUUACAGAUAAAGUUUACAGUUUCUGCUUCUAGUCAAUAGGUCCCAUAUGGUACUUUUGCCACCAGAGGGCGCUAAGUGUCCAGCUUGCUUAUCACACCAGAGGCCCAUCUGGACACACUGGCUUCCCGCAGGGACUGAACUCAGAGAGCCUGC